CUCAAGUCGAGGAGAACGGGAAUCUUCGGAAUCCUCAGUAAACUGGCGCACGGGUGCGUAACAUGUUGGCAACCUACCCUCGAGUGGGGAAUAACCCGCCGAAAGGCGGGCUAAUACCGCAUACCGUUUUGUUGUCGCAUGACGACGGAAUGAAAGAUACUAUUGCUUGAGGAUGGGCCUGCGGCCUAUUAGCUAGUUGGUAGGGUAACGGCCUACCAAGGCGACGAUGGGUAGCUGGUCUGAGAGGAUGACCAGCCACACUGGCACUGAGACACGGCCCAGACUCCUACGGGAGGCAGCAGUGGGGAAUUUUCCGCAAUGGGCGCAAGCCUGACGGAGCAAUGCCGCGUGAGGGAGGAAGGCCUUUGGGUUGUAAACCUCUUUUCUCAGGGAAGAAGACAGUGACG
rnacentral:rRNA from 1 species